CAACCUCCUAGAUGACCAAUCAUCACGCACUGUUCAAAUUGCAAGUACGCGUGCACUUGUGGAAGUUCAGCUAUAGCUAGCUACCACCUAUACAGCACAGUCCGGCGGCUUCGGAAUGAGUCACGUUUUCCUGUUGAUAUUGUACGUAGAUGAAACCAUCGAUGAAGAAGCCUAGGCCAGCUGAAAACAGAAAAGGCGAUAGUUACUUCAAGUUACCAACAUGCUUGCAGCUGGCUAUUGAGGGAACAAAAUUCGAAGAAACAAACUGAAAACGAUAAAAUUCUCAAGUACUGCAUGAAUGCUCAACCAGAGGUCCCUCGCGAUCAUGGCGGUUCAACUGAAAGAAACCACAGCUGCUGUUAGCGAUUCAUCACAUGGGCAAGAGAAUCAUCAGAAACUAAGUGAAAAAGCAGAUAACUAACAAGGAUUGCUACUGAACGUGAAAAGAAAGCAGAAACAGUGUCGCUUGUGAAGAACAUUUCUCAAUUGGAUUUUGCUAGUCUAGAGUGCGCGUGCCAAAUGGUUAUUAGCACGUAAUUGAAGGUGUCUCGAUUAGAUAAGGUAAUCGGAAAUAUAA